rnacentral:rRNA from 1 species
UGGGGAAUAUUGCACAAUGGGCACAAGCCUGAUGCAGCCAUGCCGCGUGUGUGAAGAAGGCCUUCGGGUUGUAAAGCACUUUCAGCGAGGAGGAAGGUGGUGAGCUUAAUACGCUCAUCAAUUGACGUUACUCGCAGAAGAAGCACCGGCUAACUCCGUGCCAGCAGCCGCGGUAAUACGGAGGGUGCAAGCGUUAAUCGGAAUUACUGGGCGUAAAGCGCACGCAGGCGGUUUGUUAAGUCAGGUGUGAAAUCCCCGGGCUCAACCUGGGAACUGCAUUUGAAACUGGCAAGCUAGAGUCUCGUAGAGGGGGGUAGAAUUCCAGGUGUAGCGGUGAAAUGCGUAGAGAUCUGGAGGAAUACCGGUGGCGAAGGCGGCCCCCUGGACGAAGACUGACGCUCAGGUGCGAAAGCGUGGGGCAGCAAACAGGAUUAGAUACCCUGGUAGUCCACGCUGUAAAACGAUGUCGAUUUUGGAGGUUGUGCCCUUGAGGCGUGGCUUCCGGAGCUAACGCGUUAAAUCGACCGCCUGGGGAGUACGGCCGCAAGGUUAAAACUUAAAUGAAUUGACGGGGUC